UGCAGCUCUCAAGUUAAAGAGGGAGCAACUGAAGACAAGGUUUGAAGAUGAGCUCCAGAAGUUGUACCAGUGACACGUUUUCUUGCUUAUACACUUGUGCCGAAAAUCAAACUAAUUUUAAUGGAAUAAUUUUUGUUUUAAUUUCGAGGCUGUAAUUACUUAUAAACGUACAUUUGUUACACAAACUAAUAUGUGGGUUUUGAAACCCUGUUUGGACCCUCAACUUAUGAGGGUGCUCUAUUAUGGUUGUCGAAUCUGAUUUUUUUAUGAAAUUAGCACUGAACUUUCAACCGAUGUAAUUUGAACGUGGCAGGCAGAUAUAUGAAAUAAUUUCAUACAUCGUUUGUGCUAUAUUUUAUAUAUACAUGACGUGAGAUAUGAAUGAAUUCGAAUAUAUUCAAUUUUUUAAUUAUUA
rnacentral:lncRNA from 1 species